rnacentral:rRNA from 1 species
GACGAACGCUGGCGGCGUGCCUAAUACAUGCAAGUAGAACGCACAGUUUAUACCGUAGCUUGCUACACCAUAAACUGUGAGUUGCGAACGGGUGAGUAACGCGUAGGUAACCUGCCUGGUAGCGGGGGAUAACUAUUGGAAACGAUAGCUAAUACCGCAUAAUAUUAAUUAUUGCAUGAUAAUUGAUUGAAAGAUGCAAUUGCAUCACUACCAGAUGGACCUGCGUUGUAUUAGCUAGUAGGUGAGGUAACGGCUCACCUAGGCGACGAUACAUAGCCGACCUGGAAGGGUGAUCGGCCACACUGGGACUGGGACACGGCCCAGACUCCUACGGGAGGCAGCAGUAGGGAAUCUUCGGCAAUGGACGAAAGUCUGACCGAGCAACGCCGCGUGAGUGAAGAAGGUUUUCGGAUCGUAAAGCUCUGUUGUAAGAGAAGAACGGGUGUGAGAGUGGAAAGUUCACACUGUGACGGUAUCUUACCAGAAAGGGACGGCUAACUACGUG